UUAUGGCUCAGGAUGAACGCUGGCGGCGUGCCUAACACAUGCAAGUCGAGCGAGAAGCUCAUGACCAAUACUCGGUUGCGUGAUUGAGUGGAAAGCGGCGACGGGUGAGUAACGCGUAGGCAACCUGCCCCUUGCAGAGGGAUAGCCUCGGGAAACCGGGAUUAAGACCUCAUAAUGUGUCUGUGAGACAUCUCAUAGACGCCAAAGAUUUAUCGGCAAGGGAUGGGCCUGCGUCUGAUUAGUUAGUUGGUGGGGUAACGGCCUACCAAGGCGACGAUCAGUAGCCGACCUGAGAGGGUGAUCGGCCACAUUGGAACUGAGACACGGUCCAAACUCCUACGGGAGGCAGCAGUGGGGAAUAUUGCACAAUGGGCGAAAGCCCUGAUGCAGCAACGCCGCGUGAAGGAUGAAGGCCCUUGGGUCGUAAACUUCUGUUCUAAGGGAAGAUAAUGACGGUACCUUAGGAGCAAGUCCCGGCUAACUACGUGCCAGCAGCCGC
rnacentral:rRNA from 1 species